CCUAGUCCUCAGAGCUCACUGAAAUUAUUCACACCAGCCAAUCUUAAACCUACUUGCCCUGCUUCACAGUUUCAUUCCUGCAGAAACCACAAUAAAGGGACGUGCCCUCAGUUGCCCUGUCUCCCUCUGCCUCAUGACUGACCGCGGUGCAUGACCUGAGUGGCCUUGUGUGGCCUGCUGCUUUCUCCCCAGUGAACUGUGAAUUAAAAUAUUUUCAGAAUAAAUUUCAAAUUUAAUGUGUUAAAUGGUUGUUUACCACCAGAGUAAUCCUAUGUAACAAACUCCCACGAAACUUCAGUUCUUACGACAAGCUUUCAUUGCUUUCAUGGAGUAGGACUGGCUAGUUAGGCAGCUUUGCUGGUCUUGGUUGGGCUUAUGCACUGAGGGUCAGCUUUCUAAGGCUGAUCUAACCUGGCCUGGCUGAGACAACAGAUGGGACUCAGCCCUUACUCAUGUGUUUCUCAUCUCUCUGUAGACUAAUUGAGGCAUAUUUUGUGACUAUGGCAGAGGCAAAAAAGUACAAACAAGUAAGGAGGAGAAGGACUGAGGUGUUCUAUCUCUUUCCGGCACAAAUCAUCACUUCACAUAUCCCUUCUAGACAGCAGCUGUAUGAUAGCAUGGAUACUUUUUUCUACUUGUUCUGAAGUGUGAACCGGAAAGAGCAGAA
rnacentral:lncRNA from 10 species